AUUCAGAAAUAGCAAAGCGAAGAACUUUACCAUAUCUUGACAUGUUGCGAACUCUCUUGAGAGACAAGAGUACCUCUAUAAAUGCGGAUACAAGUCGUGCAUGAUUGUCAUCAACUAGUGUUGUAGAGCAACCCUUGUGUGUAGUUGCCAUCGCUAAGUUUGGAACUAUGAAUAGAUUGUCGGUGAUAAGUUGGAGGAAGGUGAGGAUGACGCGAGUCAUAGUGCACCAAGCGACACGUUCU
rnacentral:rRNA from 1 species